GUUAUAUGGUCAAGCGAAUAAGCGCACACGGUGGAUGCCUUGGCGGUCAGAGGCGAUGAAGGACGUGGCAGCCUGCGAAAAGUAUCGGGGAGCUGGCAACAAGCUUUGAUCCGGUAAUGUCCGAAUGGGGAAACCCACCCGCUUGCGGGUAUCCUGCAGUGAAUACAUAGCUGCUGGAAGCGAACCUGGUGAACUGAAAUAUCUAAGUAACCAGAGGAAAAGAAAUCAACCGAGAUUCCGUAAGUAGCGACGAGCGAACGCGGACUAGCCCUUAAGCUGAUUUGGUUCUAGGAAAACGCUCUGGAAAGAGCGGCCAUAGAAGGUGAUAGCCCUGUAUCUGAAAGGGCCAUUCCAGUGAAGACGAGUAGGGCGGGGCACGUGAAACCCUGUCUGAACAUGGGGGGACCAUCCUCCAAGGCUAAAUACUACUGACCGACCGAUAGUGAACCAGUACCGUGAGGGAAAGGCGAAAAGAACCCCGGAGAGGGGAGUGAAAUAGAACCUGAAACCGUGUGCGUACAAGCAGUAGGAGCUCCGCAAGGAGUGACUGCGUACCUUUUGUAUAAUGGGUCAGCGACUUACUGUUCGUGGCAAGCUUAACCGUAUAGGGGAGGCGAAGGGAAACCGAGUCUGAUAAGGGCGCAUAGUCGCGGGCAGUAGACCCGAAACCGGGUGAUCUAGUCAUGCCCAGGGUGAAGGUGCGGUAACACGCACUGGAGGCCCGAACCCACUCCCGUUGCAAAGGUAGGGGAUGAGGUGUGAUUAGGAGUGAAAAGCUAAUCGAACCCGGAGAUAGCUGGUUCUCCUCGAAAGCUAUUUAGGUAGCGCCUCAUAUGUAUCCUCUCGGGGGUAGAGCACUGUUAUGGCUAGGGGGUCAUCGCGACUUACCAAACCAUUGCAAACUCCGAAUACCGAGACGGACUGUA
rnacentral:rRNA from 1 species